UACAGAGGGGGCAAGCGUUGUUCGGAAUUACUGGGCGUAAAGGGCGCGUAGGCGGCCUGUUAAGUCGAACGUGAAAUCCCCGGGCUCAACCCGGGAACUGCGUCCGAUACUGGCAGGCUUGAAUCCGGGAGAGGGAUGCGGAAUUCUAGGUGUAGCGGUGAAAUGCGUAGAUAUCUGGAGGAACACCGGUGGCGAAGGCGGCAUCCUGGACCGGUAUUGACGCUGAGGCGCGAAAGCCAGGGGAGCAAACGGG
rnacentral:rRNA from 1 species